UACGUAGGGUGCAAGCGUUGUCCGGAAUUAUUGGGCGUAAAGAGCUCGUAGGCGGUUUGUCGCGUCUGCUGUGAAAACUCGGGGCUUAACUCCGGGCCUGCAGUGGGUACGGGCAGACUAGAGUGCGGUAGGGGAGACUGGAAUUCCUGGUGUAGCGGUGAAAUGCGCAGAUAUCAGGAGGAACACCAAUGGCGAAGGCAGCUCUCUGGGACGGUACUGACGCUGAGACGCGAAAGCGUGGGGAGCGAACAGG
rnacentral:rRNA from 1 species